rnacentral:rRNA from 1 species
AGCUAAGGUAGUAAGAGAUGCUCUUGAAACCUAAGGGUUUUGGCGGUCUUUUUUCUUAUUAGAGGAAUUUGCUCUGUAAUUGAUAAUCCUCGUUAAAUUUUACUUGAUUGAUGUUUGUAUACCGCUGUUGAUGAUAUUUUUUAAAUGAGAUAUUGGGUAAAUAUGGUUCUAAAUGUCAAGUCAAGGUGCAGCUAGUAUUUGAGAUUGAAGUGAAUUACAAUUAGGUAUAAUGGAUUACUGAGUGUAAGUUGAUUAUGAGAUUGGAUUUAAUAGUAAUUUUGUAUUAAUAUGAUAUUAUGAAUAUGGUUUAAAAAGAUGU